rfam:Solanum lycopersicum cultivar Heinz 1706 chromosome 3, whole genome shotgun sequence.
UUUCAAGUUCGUAUGAGUAAGUUAUUCCCUUUGGAAUUUGGUUGUUUUGAAUAAGGAAAUGUCCAAUAUGGAUUUUAGAAGGGUAGUUUGGGUUUUUCCUUAUCGUUUUAUUUUAAUUUUUAUAGUAAUUAUUUAGUGGUCAAACUGAACUUAUUUAGUUUAUGCAUUAGAAAAUGUGUUGAGGCGCAACAUUUAGCUUGAUAUCUAGGGGUAAAGCAUUGUUUUGGUGUGGGCCGCGAAUGUGCUACGAAAUCCAGGGAAAAUGUGAAUACUAGAUGUGAUCUCAAAUAACACGGUCAAGGUCGUCUAGUGAGAUGAUGGGGGAUAAGCUUCAUCAUCGAGAGGCAAACAGCAUCGAUUACUAGGUAGGACCCAUAAAUGACUACUUAGUGAUAAAGGAGGUAGGGUUGUAGAGACAACCAAGAGGUUUUCUAGAAAGAGUGUGUAAUAGAUCACUGAUCGAGCGCUCUUGCACUGAAGAUGAGCUGGGCUAAGAGGUAUGCCGAAGCUGUGGAUGUAAAAAUACGUCGUUAGGGUAGCACUCCCCCUUAGAAAAAAUUCUUCCCUCGAUCUGUGGUUGAGGAAGCGAAAGCGAGAUUUUUACUUCGGUGACGUAAACAUUGGUGAGAAUCCAAUGCUCUAAAAAGCUAAGGGUUUCUCUGCAUGGUUCGUCCAUGGACGGUGAGCCAGGGCCUAAGAUAAGGCCUAAACACAUAGUCGAUGGACAACAGGUGAAUAUUCCUAUACUACCCCUUGUUCGUCUUGAGAAACGGAGAGGAGUAGGUUAUCGAAAAGCUGGUUAUCAGUUCAAGAACGUAAGCUGUCCCUGCUUUUUUAGAGUAAGAAGGGAUAUAAAAAAUGCGUCGAGCCAAUAUUCUAAUACCAGGCGCUACGUCACUAAAGUAACUCUUGUCAUACUCCUUUAAAAUCUCAAAAGACAUUAAUCAAGAGGGUACCUGUACCAAAAAUUGACACAGGUGGGUAGAUAGACAAUACAUAGGGGCAGGAGACAAGUCUCUCAAAGGAACUCGGAAAAUAUCCACGUAACUCAGGGAGAAGGGGUGCCUCCUAACAAAGGGGGCGUAGUGACUAGGACCAAGCGAAUGUUUACAAAAACAACAUGUCUCCACAAUGUUGAAAAACAAUGUAUGGGGUUGUCACCUACCAAGUGACGGAAAGAGAAGAAUGUUGGUUACUUGAUGAAAGGGGAGUCGGCGACCGAAGACACGGUCCAAGGCGGUGGUAACUAUAACGGUCCUAAGAUAGAGAAAUUCCUUGUUAGGUAAGUUCAAACAUACACGAAAGAUGUAAAAAUCUAGUGACGGUCUAGGAGAGAGGCUCGGUGAAAUAGACACGUUUGUGAAGAUGCGACCUACCUACACCAGGAUAGAAAGACCCUGUGAAGCUUCAAUUUUCACUAAGAUAGGAUUUGGGCCUUUCGUGUGCAACAUAGGUGGAAGGCAAAGAAAUCCUCCAUUCGGGGGGCUUCCAACCAUCAGUUAGAUAGCAAUCUAUAAGGGAUAAAAUUCUAACCUCAUGCAAGACCUACGAAGGGACAGUCAUAGGUAGACACUUUCUAUGAAGAGUUGGUCUCCCAAAAGGUAACGGAGGCAUGCAAAGGUUUUCUCAAUCCGGAAAGAGAUUGACCCUCGAGUGCAAAGAAAGAAAUGAUCUUGGCUGCAAGACCCACAUGUCGAGCGAGGACAAAAGUUGGCCUUAGUUAUCCAACAGUUCCGAGUGGAAGGUCCGUCGCUUAACAGAUAAAAGUUACUCUAGGGAUAAUAGGCUUAUCUUUCCCAAGAACUCACAUCGACGGGAAGGUUUUGCACCUCAUUGUCGUCUAUUCGCCACCUGGGGUUGUAGUAUGUUCAAAGGGUUGGGCUGUUUUCCCACUAAAGCAGUACGUGAGCUAGGUUCAGAAUGUCAUGACACAGUUCGGUCCAUAUCUAGUGUGGGUGUUAGAGCAUUGAGAGGACCUUUCCCUAGUACGAGAGGACCAAAAAGGAGGCACUUAUGGUGUACCAGUUAUCCUUCCCAUGUAAACUCUUGGUAGUCAAGUGCAAAACGAAUAACUGUUGAAAUCAUCUAAGUAGUAAGCCAACCCCAAGAUCAUUGUUCUCUUAUUCUUACAUCCCCAUAGCUUCCUGUAGGAGCGCCAAGAUAGCAAAGGGUUCUCUGGCCUUGCGAGUAUGGAGGGACAAGAUUUCUUUGGAGAAUUCAAGAGAAGGUCACAGUGAGAGGAGUCAUUUAACAUUACGAUAGAUGUCAAGUGGAUGUUAAGUGCUGUAUGCAGCUAAGUCAUCUUAACAAACCGGUAGACCUGAACCA